CCUACGGGAGGCAGCAGUGAGGAAUAUUGGUCAAUGGACGAGAGUCUGAACCAGCCAAGUAGCGUGAAGGAUGACUGCCCUAUGGGUUGUAAACUUCUUUUAUAUGGGAAUAAAAUGUUCCACGUGUGGGAUUUUGUAUGUACCAUAUGAAUAAGGAUCGGCUAACUCCGUGCCAGCAGCCGCGGUAAUACGGAGGAUCCGAGCGUUAUCCGGAUUUAUUGGGUGUAAAGGGAGCGUAGGUGGAUUGUUAAGUCAGUUGUGAAAGUUUGCGGCUCAACCGUAAAAUUGCAGUUGAAACUGGCAGUCGUGAGUACAGUAGAGGUGGGCGGAAUUCGUGGUGUAGCGGUGAAAUGCUUAGAUAUCACGAAGAACUCCGAUUGCGAAGGCAGCUCACUGGACUGCAACUGACACUGAGGCUCGAAAGUGUGGGUAUCAAACAGGAUUAGAUACCCCAGUAGUC
rnacentral:rRNA from 1 species